GUGACAGGAAGUGAGCAGUCCGGGCGGAGCUGGAGACGGCUGGAGGAUUGUCGGAGGACGGUGGAAGCUGAGGAGAAGGCGGCGAUGCCCAGGGGCCAGAAGCAGCAGAGCAUGGAGAAGAAAGCGAGGCCCAGGUAGUCCUGAGGGAUCAUCAGAGGGAAGUUGCUGUCGCUGUCGCUAUCGCUAAAGUCUUCAAUGGACGAGUCCUGAGGGUCAAGGAGGACGCAGGCGGGAGAUCAGACAUGAACUGGUCAGGAAUCUACUGAAAACAAGAGCAGUUUAAGGGCCUGCUGCAAAAACACGAAGCAAACACUUUCCGAGUGCUGUUUUUAGGAGCGUAUUGCAAAACAACUAGUCAAACAUCCUCUAUGACAGAAGCUUUUUGCUGGUUUUCACAAUUUACCACAACAGCAGAAACAGCUUAUAUAUACAGUAACAAUAGUGCUGUUUUUGGGAAUCCAAUGCAAAAACUGAUCUUACUGUACAUAGUUCUUAUAUAUCAUAGGAGUGCUCUGCUGUGUUUAGAAAUCCCCUGUAAAAUAUUGGUCAAAGAUCAUCUAUAUGACCCGAGUGCUGUGCUGUUUUUGGUAAUUGGCUGCAAAAAUGCUAGUCAAAGAUUCUCUAUAUGACCAGACCGCUGUGCUGUUUUUGGUAAUUGGCUGCAAAAAGGCUAGUCAAAGAUCCUCUCUGUGACCAAUGUGCUGUGCUGUUUUUGGUAAUUGGCUGCAAAAAUGCUAG